CAAAAUGUAGCUUAAAUAAAGCAUCUCGCUUACACCGAGAAAAUGCCUGAUAACUCCGGGCCAUCUUGA
rnacentral:tRNA from 1 species